CACGGAGUUAGCCGGUGCUUAUUCUCAGUGGUACCUUCAAUUCCAGAUAAAUCUGUAUUUUAUUCCCCUGCUAAAGUGAGUUUACAACCCAUAGGGCCUUAUUCCUCCACGCGGGAUGGCUGGAUCAGAGUUGCCUCCAUUGUCCAAUAUUCCUUACUGCUGCCUCCCGUAGGCCCCCCGUGCCCCCA
rnacentral:rRNA from 1 species